rnacentral:rRNA from 1 species
UACGUAGGGUGCAAGCGUUGUCCGGAAUUAUUGGGCGUAAAGAGCUCGUAGGCGGUGUGUCACGUCGGCCGUGAAAACCUGCAGCUUAACUGUGGGCGUGCGGUCGAUACGGGCAUCACUGGAGUUCGGCAGGGGAGGACUGGAAUUCCUGGUGUAGCGGUGAAAUGCGCAGAUAUCAGGAGGAACACCGGUGGCGAAGGCGGGUCUCUGGGGCCGAUACUGACGCUGAGGAGCGAAAGCGUGGGGGAGCAAACAGG